rnacentral:lncRNA from 1 species
AUGGGAAUUUCACGGGGAUUUCACGGGGAUUUUAUGGGGAUUUCACGGGGAUUUUAUGGGAAUUUUAUGGGGAUUUUAUGGGGAUUUUAUGGGGAUUUUAUGGGGAUUUCACGGGGAUUUUAUGGGGAUUUUAUGGGGAUUUUAUGGGGAUUUUAUGGGGAUUUUAUGGGGAUUUCACGGGAAUUUCACGGGGAUUUUAUGGGGAUUUUAUGGGGAUUUUACAGGAAUUUUACGGGGAUUUUAUGGGGAUUUUACGGGGAUUUCACGGGGAUUUUAUGGGGAUUUUAUGGGGAUUUUAUGGGGAUUUUAUGGAAUUUUAUGGGGAUUUUCUGGGGAUUUUACAGGAAUUUUCUGGGGAUUUUACCGAAAUUUUAUGGGAGUUUUAUAGGAAUUUUCUGGGGAUUUUCUGGGGAUUUUACAGGAAUUUUUUGGGAGUUUUAUAGGAAUUUUCUGGGGAUUUUACAGGAAUUUUCUGGGGAUUUUACCGAAAUUUUAUGGGAGUUUUAUAGGAAUUUUCUGGGGAUUUUACGGGGAUUUUUUGGGAAUUUUAUAGGAAUUUUCUGGGAAUUUUAUGAGAAUUUUACAGGAUUUUUUUUUAAUUUUCUGGGUAUUUUACAGGAAUUGUUUUGGAAUUUUCUGGGAAUUUUGCGGGAAUUUUUUGGGAAUUUUCCAGGGAUUUUACGGGAAUUUUAUGGGAAUUUUCUGGUGAUUUUACGGGAAUUUUUUGGGAAUUUUCUGGGGAUUUUGGGGGGAUUUUUGUGGAUUUUUUCAGGAUUUUUUGGGGAUUUUUGGGGGAUUUUCCAGGAAGUUCUGUGGAAUUUUCUGGGAAUUUUCUGGGAAUUUUCCAGGAAUUUUCCAGGAAUUUCCCCAGAAUUUUCUGGCAUGUCCAAAGAAUUUCCCAGGAAUUUUCAAGCAAUUUCCAGGAAUUUUACGGGAAUUUUCUGGGAAUCUUCUGGGAAUUUUUUGGGAAUUUUGGGGGGAUUUUCCAGGAAGUUUUCUGGGAAUUUUCCCAGAACUUUCCAGGAAUUUUCUGGAAAUUUUCUGGGAAUUUUUUGGGAAUUUUGGGGGGAUUUUGGGGUUUUUUUGGGGGAAUUUUUUGGGAAAUUUUGGGAAUUUUUUGGGGGAUUUUUUCGAGAUUUUUUGGGGAGUUUUUGGGGAAUUUUCCAGGAAUUUUCAGAGAAUUUUUGGGACUUUUUAGAGAUUUCCAUGGGAUUUUCCAGCAAAAUUUCUGGGAAUUUUACGGAAAUUUUCCAUGAGUUUACCGGGAAUUUUUGGGAAAAUUUCCAGGAUUUUUCUGGAUAUUUUUGGGAAAUUUCCUGGAAUUUUAUGGACAUUUUCCAGGAAUUUUCUGUGAUUAUUUUUUCCCAGGAAUUUUCUAGGACUAUCCAGGGAAUUUUGUUUUAA